UAGGCUAUUUUGGAAGGAACGUGGAGAAAGAUCUUACGAAAUUCAAUUUCAGUGAAAUAUAUCAUGUGUGGGACCGAAAUCCUGCAAGACGAGAUGAGACCUGCUAAUAAGAAGCCCAACUUUGUCAAGAAAAAAUACAUCUUCUUAUGCCUCCUCACUGUUCCAAUCCAACUGCAUGGUCAACCUCACAGGGAGAGUUACAGGGGGCCCAGCACGGCAAUGCGGAUGCAAACCUAGCCCUGAGCAUGCCUCACUCCCAGUCAGGGCUAAGGGGGGGAUGCAAACCUAGCCCUGAGCAUGCCAGGAGGGAUGCAAACCUAGCCCUG
rnacentral:lncRNA from 1 species